UGUGGCGGCAGUAGCGCGGUGGUCCCACCUGACCCCAUGCCGAACUCAGAAGUGAAACGCCGUAGCGCCGAUGGUAGUGUGGGGUCUCCCCAUGCGAGAGUAGGGAACUGCCAGGC
rnacentral:rRNA from 1 species